CAAUAGCGUAUAUUAAAGUUGUUGCAGUUAAAAAGCUCGUAGUUGGAUUUGUGGCGUACGGUGUGUUCCGGGCACUUGUUGUCUGAGUAACCUGCUGUUGCCAUCCUUGGGUGGAACCUGUGUGGCAUUAGGUUGUCGUGCAGGGGAUGCCCAUCAUUUACUGUGAAAAAAUUAGAGUGUUCAAAGCAGGCUUAUGCCGUUGAAUAUAUUAGCAUGGAAUAAUGAGAUAGGACUUUUUUGCUAUUUUGUUGGUUUGCGCAAAGAGGUAAUGAUCAAUAGGGACAGUUGGGGGUAUUCGUAUUCCAUUGUCAGAGGUGAAAUUCUUGGAUUUUUGGAAGACGAACUACUGUGAAAGCAUUUACCAAGGAUGUUUUCAUUAA
rnacentral:rRNA from 1 species